GACGAACGCUGGCGGCGUGCUUAACACAUGCAAGUCGAACGGAAAGGCCCUGCUUUUGUGGGGUGCUCGAGUGGCGAACGGGUGAGUAACACGUGAGUAACCUGCCCUUGACUUUGGGAUAACUUCAGGAAACUGGGGCUAAUACCGGAUAGGAGCUCCUGCUGCAUGGUGGGGGUUGGAAAGUUUCGGCGGUUGGGGAUGGACUCGCGGCUUAUCAGCUUGUUGGUGGGGUAGUGGCUUACCAAGGCUUUGACGGGUAGCCGGCCUGAGAGGGUGACCGGCCACAUUGGGACUGAGAUACGGCCCAGACUCCUACGUGAGGCAGCAGUCGGGAAUAUUGCACAAUGGGCGGAAGCCUGAUGCAGCAACGCCGCGUGCGGGAUGACGGCCUUCGGGUUGUAAACCGCUUUCGCCUGUGACGAAGCGUGAGUGACGGUAAUGGGUAAAGAAGCACCGGCUAACUACGUG
rnacentral:rRNA from 1 species